UACGUAGGGGGCGAGCGUUGUCCGGAUUUAUUGGGCGUAAAGAGCUCGUAGGCGGCUGUUCGAGUCGGGUGUGAAACCCCAGGGCUUAACUCUGGGCCUGCAUUCGAUACUGGGCGGCUUGAGUCUGGUAGGGGGAUCUGGAAUUCCUGGUGUAGCGGUGGAAUGCGCAGAUAUCAGGAGGAACACCGGUGGCGAAGGCGGGUCCCUGGGCCGAUACUGACGCUGAGGAGCGAAAGCGUGGGGAGCGAACAGG
rnacentral:rRNA from 1 species